rnacentral:rRNA from 1 species
GGCGUCAGAACGAACGGACUGGCGGCAGGUCUUAGGCAUGCAAGUCGAACGGAUGACAAGGGAGCUUGCUCCUUGAAGUCAGUGGCGCACGAGUGAGUAACGCGUGGGAAACUGCCCUUCACUGGGAAUAACGUUUGGAAACGAACGCUAAUACCGCAUACGCCCGCAAGGGAAAGAUUUAUCGGUGAUGGAUGUGCCCGCGUUGGAUUAGCCAGUUGGUGGGGUAAUGGCCUACCAAAGCAAUGAUCCAUAGCUGGUCUGAGAGGACGAUCAGCCACGCUGGAACUGAGACACGGUCCAGACUCCUACGGGAGGCAGCAGCUAAGAAUAUUGGGCAAUGGAGGAAACUCUGACCCAGCCCAUGCCGCGUGAAUGAAGAAGGCCUUCGGGUUGUAAAGUUCUUUUAGUCAUGAAGAUGAUGACAGUAGUGACAGAAAAAGCACCGGCUAACUUCGUGCCAGCCGCCGC